AUGGCAAUUCUGCUGGAAACAGUGUCAGUCCGGGUUAGUUCCAUUCAAAUCAUGCAAGUUAGAAUUCAAAAUAAGGGCAAAAGUGUUGGGAAAAGUAAAUACGACGGAGAUGUAUCAGCCACGAUUAGGUGUUUCUACAAGUUCUGUCGGGCAGUGGUGGCAGUGUUUGGACUGCAAUACUUGCGAACACCCAAUGCGGAAGACACUGCUUGGAUCCUAGCACAGAAUGCAGCAAAAGGAUUUCCUGGGAUGCUUGGAAGCAUCGACUGCAUGCAUUGGAGAUGGAAGAACUGUCCAUUUGCUUGGCAGGGGAUGUCAUUCUCCUACAACAAGGGGUACUACCUAGCUGACGGCAUCUAUCCGAGAUGGUCUAUAUUUGUGAAGACUAUCUCAAACGCUGUGCCAGAAGGCAAGAAGUCCCACUUUGCCAAGACCUGGUCGAAAGAUCAAAUAUGGGACUUCAUAAUUUGUUGUGUCAUCUUGCACAACAUGAUCAUCAAAAGCGAGCAGGAAGAUCCAGUAUUUGACACUGAACCAUACUACAGGCAGGGUCCUCUAACCGAAGUUGAUCAUCAGCUACCGGCAACCUCGACUGCCUACCUUAUUGUAUCGCCGGCUCGUCCCCAGCGGUGA
rnacentral:rRNA from 1 species